rnacentral:rRNA from 1 species
UACGAAGGGUGCAAGCGUUACUCGGAAUCACUGGGCGUAAAGCGUGCGUAGGCGGUUGGUUAAGUCUGCUGUGAAAGCCCUGGGCUCAACCUGGGAACUGCAGUGGAUACUGGCCAGCUAGAGUGUGAUAGAGGAUGGUGGAAUUCCCGGUGUAGCGGUGAAAUGCGUAGAGAUCGGGAGGAACACCAGUGGCGAAGGCGGCCAUCUGGAUCAACACUGACGCUGAGGCAUGAAAGCGUGGGGAGCAAACAGG